GCCUCGAUAGCUCAGUCGGUAGAGCAGAGGACUGAAAAUCCUCGUGUCGCUGGUUCGAUUCCGGCUCGAGGCACCA
rnacentral:tRNA from 3 species